UACGUAGGGUGCGAGCGUUGUCCGGAAUUACUGGGCGUAAAGAGCUCGUAGGUGGUUUGUCGCGUUGUUCGUGAAAACUCACAGCUCAACUGUGGGCGUGCGGGCGAUACGGGCAGACUGGAGUACUGCAGGGGAGACUGGAAUUCCUGGUGUAGCGGUGGAAUGCGCAGAUAUCAGGAGGAACACCAAUAGCGAAGGCAGCUCGCUGGGACGUUACUGACACUGAGGCGCGAAAGCGUGGGGAGCGAACAGG
rnacentral:rRNA from 1 species